UGUUACAGUGUAUCUGUGCUGUGUUACAGUGUAUCUGUGCUGUGUUACAGUGUAUCUGUUGUGUGUUACAGUGUAUCUGUGCUGUGUUACAGUGUAUCUGUUGUGUGUUACAGUGUAUCUGUUAUGUUGUAUCUGUGCUGUGUUACAGUGUAUCUGUGCUGUGUUACAGUGUAUCUGUGCUGUGUUACAGUGUAUCUGUGCUGUGUUACAGUGUAUCUGUGCUGUGUUACAGUGUAUCUGUUGUGUGUUACAGUGUAUCUGUGCUGUGUUACAGUGUAUCUGUGGUGUGUUACAGUGUAUCUGUGCUGUGUUACAGUGUAUCUGUGCUGUGUUACAGUGUAUCUGUGCUGUGUUACAGUGUAUCUGUGCUGUGUUACAGUGUAUCUGUGUCUGAAACACCGAGACCCCUUUGAGAAGCAUCGUGUGUUACGAGAACGACCCUUCAAUAUCCACGCCACAGAUUCCUUCUACAGUGUAUAUCUGUCCUCAAUGAAGCGUUUUGAUACUGUCAUUAAGAGUAUGAAGAAGUAGACAUUUAUUUUAGCUAAAGAAAAGAAAAAAGAUCUGUUUUUGUUACAUAAAUCAGUAAAUCUUUUUUACCUGGAGAA
ensembl:lncRNA